UGUGUAUCAGUACAUGGCAUAUCAUAAGCGGAGGAAAAGAAACUAACAAGGAUUCCCUUAGUAACGGCGAGUGAAGCGGGAAGAGCUCAAGUUUGAAAUCUUCAAGGUUUUACCUUGACGAAUUGUAGUUUAAAGAAGUGUUUUCUGUUGGAGUUUUGGUAAAAGUUCUUUGGAAUAGGACAUCAUAGAGGGUGAGAAUCCCGUAUUUGACCAUUACUUUCCAGCUGUGUGAUACACUUUCAAAGAGUCGGAUUGUUUGGGAAUGCAGUCCAAGAUGGGUGGUAAAUUUCAUCUAAAGCUAAAUAUUGGCGAGAGACCGAUAGCGAACAAGUACCGUGAGGGAAAGAUGAAAAGAACUUUGAAAAGAGAGUUAAACAGUACGUGAAAUUGUCAAAAGGGAAGCGUUUGACACCAGUGUUGUUUUUCCGAAAAUCAAUUACGAAUGUUUUGUUUUUGAGGAGUUAUGACUUCAUCGGCUUGCUCCUUUCUUUACGAAACUUUCUUAAUGCACUUUUCGGUUAACAAGUCAACAUCAAUUUCUUUUGUUGUAAAAGGGUAAUGAGGAAGGUGGCUUUACGUUUCGGAGAAAGUGUUUAUAGCCUUGUGCCUCUGCAAUCGGAGAGAUUGAGGUCUGCAGCGUAGAUCCUUCGGGGUUAGAUACGUUUGUGCUAAGUUAUAGCUUUUCAUAGACAACUUGUUGACUAUGUUUAGUCUUGUAGCUUACUCGCUUACGCUAUUUUACCUACGCUUAGGAUGUUGACAGCAGUAUAGACUG
rnacentral:rRNA from 1 species